AACGAACGCUGGCGGCAUGCCUAACACAUGCAAGUCGAACGAGACCUUCGGGUCUAGUGGCGCACGGGUGCGUAACGCGUGGGAACCUGCCCUUAGGUUCGGAAUAACUCCCCGAAAGGGGUGCUAAUACCGGAUAAUGUCUUCGGACCAAAGAUUUAUCGCCUUUGGAUGGGCCCGAGUUGGAUUAGCUAGUGGGUAGGGUAAAAGCCUACCAAGGCGACGAUCCAUAGCUGGUCUGAGAGGAUGAGCAGCCACACUGAGACUGGGACACGGCGCAGACUCCUGCGGGAGGCGGGAGUGGGUAAUACUGGACAACGGGCGGGAGGCAGAAGCAGCAAGGGCGCGAGAGUGAUGAAGGCGUUAGGGUUGUAAAGCACUUUUACCCGGGAUGAUAAUGACGGUACCGGGAGAAUAAGCACCGGCUAACUCCGUG
rnacentral:rRNA from 1 species